GACGUAGGGCGCGAGCGUUGUCCGGAUUUAUUGGGCGUAAAGAGCUCGUAGGCGGCUCAUCGCGUCUGCCGUGAAAACCUGUGGCUCAACUACAGGCUUGCGGUUGAUACGGGUGGGCUGGAGUUCGGUAGGGGAGACUGGAAUUCCUGGUGUAGCGGUGAAAUGCGCAGAUAUCAGGAGGAACACCGGUGGCGAAGGCGGGUCUC
rnacentral:rRNA from 1 species